GAAAAAAUGAACUCUUGCUUUCAUAAUAAGUUCUCUAAAUUCAUAAUGAAGUCCAUGGUGGCUUUAUUUUGCAAUACAAUUGCAUGGUACUCAAUCACAAGGAUUAGAUGUAUGUGUUUUAACUGCACGCUUGUGCAGUCCCAACAAACAUCGAAAUUCUUGUAUCACCACUGUGACCAAAAUCCGUUAGACUUGCAAUACAAGUAAUUCCAAAGACGAGACACUCAUAGUUCAUGUAUCUAGAAGGAGCAUUAUUCAAAAUUGAGGCUACUACUUCUAUAGACAAAAAUAAAGCAGCUUAAGAGAGGCAAGAGUAAGCCAAAUUCUUUUCCUCGGACAGCUCUUCGGCUGUCAAGUCCAACUUCUUCCUUGAAAACUCAUCAAUUGAAAGUCCUGGAUAAUAAAAAAAGUGAAGAAAUUGUUAACACUACAAAAUUUAACUAAAAUUUAUCAGUCAGAUCAUUAAAAAAUGUUUCUUUAAUUAUCACCAUGUCUAAAGUCACAUAUGAUUCAUUGCGAUUAGUUGAUAGCGUAAAAGAGUAUAUAAUUAAAAAAAGGCACUUUUUUUAUAAUGAAAGCACUAAAAAAACUUUUUUCCAGAAAAUGUCAAAGACUACAAAUUAAUUUUAAGCACUAGAAAAAAGAAUAUAAACUGGUCCGUAAUUUCAAUUCCAUUAGAAAAGCACCCCACCAGGGAGUAUGAGGAUUGUAAAAUCAAGUAUAUAGCGAAUAAUAAACACCAGCAAAUUAUGCAUGGGUAUAUAUAGUAGGUAAGUUGAAAACUACAAGAGGAUUAGCACAUAACAAAAACCGACAACUUAAGCAUGAGGGUGUUUUAACACUUAUGAUUGUGAUGGAUGUUAUGGUUUGUAAAAACAAAAAAGGUCUUUUUCUACCGAGUAAAGUGAACAUGCACGGGUGUUUUACCAGUUAUCAACAAACACCAAAAACUGAGGGGAAACGAUUCACCUUUUAAGAUUCAAUAUGCAAUAAAGUGAUUAAAACUUACCUUGAACUAUUUUCCAUUCACCAUUGGCACAGGUAACAGGGAAUGAAUAGAUCAAUCCAGAUGGUACAUUGUAGGAACCGUCAGAAUACACUCCCAUUGAAACGAAGGUACCCUAACAUUACAAUGGAAAAGAAAAUAAGCCGGUCUGGAAGCAAAUACAGAAGAAUCAUAAGUAAAGAAAAAUCAAAAUGUAGCCAACCUGGGGAGUUCCAAGAACCCAAUCGCGAAUGUGGUCACAGGCAGCACUAGCAGCAGAUAGAGCACUUGAAAGCUUUCUAGCCUUAAUAAUUGCAGCACCACGUUGUUGAACAGUGGAAAUGAAUUCUCCAUUCAACCUAAAUAGAGAAAAGUUGAAACACUUCAAUAUACAAAUAAUUUUGAAUUUUUUUUUGCUAAAGAUCAUACUCCCCCAGUUCCUUUUUAACUGUUGUUUUUGUAGAGAAUUUGUUUCUAUUUACAUGUCAAAAUUGAAUGCAAUAUGAACUAUUCUUUUGCAAAUAAUACCCUUCACUAUUUAUGGCAGAGAGUAAUAGGUGAAACGAAAUCGUAAAAAAUUAAGGAUGGUAUAGUAAAAAAAACAUAAUUUCAUCAAAAGUAACAAAAUUUAAUGUUUUUCUUGUUAUGUGUAAAUAUCUAUAAAACGUCUAAAAAUGAAUGGAGGAAGUGAGUUUAAAGUGUUUGUGAUAUACCAUGCAUCAUCGGAAACAAGUUCGCGGACAGGCUUCUCCCCAGCUGGGGUGUUAACAGUUGCAUGGUUGACAUCAGGAUACUGGGUUGAUGAAUGAUUACCCCAGAUUAUGACAUUCUUUACAUCAGAAACUUGAACAUUCAAUCUUUCAGAAAUUUGUCCCAAAGCCCUAUUGUGAUCCAGUCUAGUCAAACAAGAAAUGUUUCUUUCUGGAAUAGAUGGAGCGAAUUCCUUCAAGAUCAAUGCAUUGGUAUUUGCUGGGUUAGCAACAACCAGAACCUGCAAGAUAAUGCAAAGCCUUCUGUAAAUUUUCCAAAAAAACGCAUACAAUACAACUAAACUGCUUGUUUUCAAAUAAAAAGGUACUCAAUUCAUGAAUAAAAUUAGACUCCUUGGCAAUGAAAUCACGUGGACUUCAUCAUAUGGAAUACCCUUGCACAAAUAUGAAUAAAGUGGAGUGUUUUCCCAAGCACCUAAAUUCAUCUGAACAUUUGAAUCUCCUAAACCUCAAAGAGGCAAAAGUUUGGCAUAUAGAUAGAAGAAUUUAGAUACAACUGCAUACACUGCAACUCCAAAUGUCUUCAUUGUGAAAACUAACAAAUAAAAUCAAUAUAUACAAUCAUAUUUCAUAGUCUUUAUAUCCAGCAUAGUCUCAAACAAACCGAUACAACAACCAAGUUUUUUGCCACUAAAUGGGGUCAGCAACAUGGAUACAUCCAUAGUGUUUUGUCGUGAAUACAUUCAUAGUGUUAUAUAGUAGAAGAAUCUCAGACUAAUAAUUUUUAAUUAACAGACAACUAACAUGUGCCAAAGAAUAACAGUUUAUUAAAAACAAAGAAAAAAGGGAAGAACACCAAAUACAUGUAUAUAUUUGACAUGAUAAUAGUAUUUUAAAUAAGGUCAGACUGGCUGGUUCAAUUGGUCUGACUGAGAGCCUAUCACAUAAUCAAUAUGAACCACUAAUUGUAUAGAAAAUGCAUACAAAAGGGUAAAAACUUGUUCUACAUGACCAAUUUAGUAGUACCGCAGGUUCAACCACAAGUUCUAUUACCAAGAAAUGAAAUAUUAUAGGUUUAUAUGUUCUUUAUACAAUAGAAAAUGAAGUGACAUAUAAUUAUAUAAUAUAUUACAUAUGGAAUUAAAAAAAUAUUAAUGAUUAUGAUAAUGUUAGGCUGUUUCUUCUCAGAUAAUGUCUAAGCAUUACAAAAGAAUAUUCUAUAUUAGAAUCACGAAGUUAAAAAGUACUCCCUCCGUUUCAAAAUACAUGUUCAAGUCAACCACUUCACAUAUGCCAAUGCACAACUUUGCCUGUUAAUAUCUUUAAUUAUCUAAAGUAAAAAAAUUAUAAAAAUUUAAUAUUUUGAAAAUACUUGUCAAGACAAAUCAAACAACAUCUUACAUGCUAAUAUUUGUAUUUAUACAUUAGUUAAAAAGUAUGGUCAAAGUAAGUCAAGUGAAUAAUGCACAUUGCAAAAAUUGGACAUGUAUUUUGAAACGGAGGGAGUAAAUUUGAAUGUCUACCAAAAUAUGGUAGGGAUUUUUAAAGUAUGAUAUGAUCAUUUUUUUUUUUAAAAAAAAGAAAAAAACUUGGUUGUAUAAAUUUAAAUGUAUGAUGUUUUUGAGGACCCCUUCCCGGCCCCUGCAUAUGCGGGAGCUUUAAUGCACCAGGCUGCCCUUUUUCUAUAUAUACCAGUUCUCAAGCAGUUAGCCAUUGACCCGAUGACAUGACAAAGUCAAUUACAACAUUGCAUACAAAGUUGCAGAAGUCUGAGUUUACGAUGAAAGGGAUUACCUUGCAGUUGGCAGCAGCAUGCUUCUCAAGGGCAGAAGCCUGAGACUUGUAAAUAGAGACAUUCUUAGACAUCACAUCCUUCCUCUCCAUACCUUCUUUUCUUGGGAAUCCACCAACCAUGACAGCAAUAUUGACUCCAGUGCAUGCCUCGACAACAUCAGUUGUAGCAACAACACCUGAAACAAAUAAUUUCACACGACUUCAAACAAAAGUUGAUCGUGCAUACGAGUCUAAGAUUUCAACCCAUCAAGUUUAUGAAACAUUUAAUAUGGAGGAUAAGUUAUACCUUUAAGAAGUGGAAAUGCAGCAUCCACCAACUCCAUUUUAACUCCAUUCAAUGACUCUGCUGCAGGAGCAAUAUCAAGCAUGUGAAGAAUCACGGGUUGAUCAGGACCGAGCAUCACUCCCCUAGCAAUCAUUGGGACAAGAGCAUAACCAAUUUGCCCUGAAAUUUGAUAGAACAUUAUAUCAGUACAGAAAAAUCAACCGACCCAGAUUCCCUUCAUGCCGUUAGAUCAAAAUUAGACGGUCUAGAUUAAAGUAAAUCAACAGCAUUAUAAGCCGCAGAUUAAAUUCAGUAGUCACUACAUUUUCAAUUAUGAACAUGCAACUUUCUUAUUCAGGCCAUAUCACAAAUUCAACAAUGUAAACCCACUACACAUAAAAUUUGGACAGGCUAGAUUGAAGAUCCAUAAAAUGAAUUAAGAAAAUUUAGAAAAUACAUGAGUAAAGACUCAAUUUGAUCCCUCGCAAUUUUCUCAGGCCAAUUAAGUCCCCUACAAAAAAAUUAAAUCCAAACUAGUCCUAACAUUUAUACCGGGGACAAAUAAGUCCAUCUGUCAUAAUGAUUCGUGGAUUAAUUUGUCCUCGAUAUAAAAAAGGUGACUAAGGUGGGUUUAUUUUGUGUCGGGGACUAAAUUGGAUCGAGAGAAAAUUGUGAGAGACCAAAUUGAAUCUUUCAUUAAAAUACAUAUAUAGAUAGAUCAAUCAAUCAAUUAACAGCUACAUAUGAAAGAUUCAAAAAUAGAACACUGAUCAAUAAAAACUACACAAAUAACAGCAUAAUAACAAUGAAAUAAAUAAACACAAAACAUCAUCGUCAUUCAUCACAUGAUCAGAUCCGAACCCAUGAACAGAUCAAGAUCGAAACAAAACAAAGACAACAUUUUGAAACGAACCCAUUAUUUAAAAUCAGAAAAAUCAUCAGAGGAACAUGGUUGGAUCAUAGAUCUCGAAUAAAAAUGUAAAAACAUUAAGAUUAAAACAUGGGCGAUGAAAACAAAUAAUAGUUUAAAGUGAUGAAAGGAGUACCUGCGGCACCAGUGACAAGAACACGAACUGGGUCUUUGGCCAUUUUUGAUGAAAUGAAAGGAAUCGAAAAUGGAAGAUUGAUGAGAAGAGAAA
rnacentral:lncRNA from 1 species